CACGUAGGGCGCGAGCGUUGUCCGGAAUUAUUGGGCGUAAAGAGCUCGUAGGCGGCCUGUUGCGUCCGCUGUGAAAACACGGGGCUUAACCCCGUGCCUGCUUCCGAUACGGGCAGACUAGAGGUAUGCAGGGGAGAACGGAAUUCCUGGUGUAGCGGUGAAAUGCGCAGAUAUCAGGAGGAACACCGGUGGCGAAGGCGGUUCUCUGGGCAUUACCUGACGCUGAGGAGCGAAAGUGUGGGGAGCGAACAGG
rnacentral:rRNA from 1 species